rnacentral:rRNA from 1 species
UACGAAGGGUGCAAGCGUUACUCGGAAUUACUGGGCGUAAAGCGUGCGCAGGCGGUUGUGCAAGACGGAUGUGAAAUCCCCGGGCUCAACCUGGGAAUUGCAUUUGUGACUGCACGGCUAGAGUGUGUCAGAGGGGGGUAGAAUUCCACGUGUAGCAGUGAAAUGCGUAGAGAUGUGGAGGAAUACCGAUGGCGAAGGCAGCCCCCUGGGAUAACACUGACGCUCAUGCACGAAAGCGUGGGGAGCAAACAGG